CCUUGCGGUGCCGCUUGACGCGGCCUAACAAGGAAUUUGGUGCAAAUCCGAAGCAGUCCCGCUGCCGUGAAUGGCGACGAGGGCGCAGAUGCCACUGUUUUUUUUAUGGGAAGGCGCGCCCGAGAUUGACCCAUGAGCCGGAAGACUUGCCGCAAAA
rnacentral:ncRNA from 1 species